UACAGAGGUCUCAAGCGUUGUUCGGAUUCAUUGGGCGUAAAGGGUGUGUAGGCGGUUGUUUAAGUUUGGUGUGAAAUCUCCCGGCUCAACUGGGAGGGUGCGCCGAAUACUGAAUGACUAGAGUGCGGGAGAGGAAAGUGGAAUUCCUGGUGUAGCGGUGAAAUGCGUAGAUAUCAGGAGGAACACCGGUGGUGUAGACGGCUUUCUGGACCGUAACUGACGCUGAGACACGAAAGCGUGGGUAGCAAACAGG
rnacentral:rRNA from 1 species